rnacentral:rRNA from 1 species
UAACUGGGCGUUAAGUUGCAGGGUAUAGACCCGAAACCCGGUGAUCUAGCCAUGGGCAGGUUGAAGGUUGGGUAACACUAACUGGAGGACCGAACCGACUAAUGUUGAAAAAUUAGCGGAUGACUUGUGGCUGGGGGUGAAAGGCCAAUCAAACCGGGAGAUAGCUGGUUCUCCCCGAAAGCUAUUUAGGUAGCGCCUCGUGAAUUCAUCUCCGGGGGUAGAGCACUGUUUCGGCAAGGGGGUCAUCCCGACUUACCAACCCGAUGCAAACUGCGAAUACCGGAGAAUGUUAUCACGGGAGACACACGGCGGGUGCUAACGUCCGUCGUGAAGAGGGAAACAACCCAGACCGCCAGCUAAGGUCCCAAAGUCAUGGUUAAGUGGGAAACGAUGUGGGAAGGCCCAGACAGCCAGGAUGUUGGCUUAGAAGCAGCCAUCAUUUAAAGAAAGCGUAAUAGCUCACUGGUCGAGUCGGCCUGCGCGGAAGAUGUAACGGGGCUAAACCAUGCACCGAAGCUGCGGCAGCGACGCUUAUGCGUUGUUGGGUAGGGGAGCGUUCUGUAAGCCUGUGAAGGUGUGCUGUGAGGCAUGCUGGAGGUAUCAGAAGUGCGAAUGCUGACAUAAGUAACGAUAAAGCGGGUGAAAAGCCCGCUCGCCGGAAGACCAAGGGUUCCUGUCCAACGUUAAUCGGGGCAGGGUGAGUCGACCCCUAAGGCGAGGCCGAAAGGCGUAGUCGAUGGGAAACAGGUUAAUAUUCCUGUACUUGGUGUUAUUGCGAAGGGGGGACGGAGAAGGCUAUGUUGGCCGGGCGACGGUUGUCCCGGUUUAAGCGUGUAGGCUGGUU